rnacentral:tRNA from 1 species
GCAGGGGUGGCCGAGCGGUCAAUGGCAGCAGACUGUAAAUCUGCCCUCCGAGUGAGUUCACAGGUUCGAAUCCUGUCCCCUGCA